rnacentral:rRNA from 1 species
GUGGGGAAUCUUGCGCAAUGGGCGAAAGCCUGACGCGGCCAUGCCGCGUGAAUGAUGAAGGUCUUAGGAUUGUAAAAUUCUUUCACCGGGGACGAUAAUGACGGUACCCGGAGAAGAAGCUCCGGCUAACUUCGUGCCAGCAGCCGCGGUAAUACGAAGGGGGCUAGCGUUGCUCGGAAUUACUGGGCGUAAAGGGCGCGUAGGCGGACAGCUUAGUCAGAGGUGAAAGCCCAGGGCUCAACCUUGGAAUUGCCUUUGAUACUGGCUGUCUUGAGUUUGGGAGAGGUGAGUGGAACUCCGGGUGGAGAGGUGAAAUUCGUAGAUAUUCGGAAGAACACCAGUGGCGAAGGCGACUCACUGGCCCAAUACUGACGCUGAGGCGCGAAAGCGUGGGGAGCAAACAGGAUUAGAUACCCCAGUAGUCC